rnacentral:other from 2 species
UCGGCGCUGCGAAGUGCGCGAUGCGUGUAAGAUCCCCGGGGCCAACGUUCAUACUCGGGAGCUGUCCCUGCCGGGCUCGUGGGCUCGGCACAUGGCGCCCACCUAGUCUCUAGGGCCUAGGAGGAUUUGACGCGAACGGCUUAUGCGGCGCCGCC